rnacentral:lncRNA from 1 species
GGGGGGUGGCACUGGCGAUCUAAGACUGGAUUGCGACGAUGCUCGAGAGUAGGGUUUUUUUCACGAGGGUAGAUAGCAGAUGGCAAAUGAUAGAGUAAACGGGAGGGGUAACUUCUCCCGUCCCUUUAUAACAGUGGGGAGUUAACAGAGGUAAUGGCCUGAUGUUUUCGCACUUGUUUGCCAGUUACCAGAUUUAUCGCAAGUGAUAGAAUUGACUGUUGGCAAACGGUCAUGAUGACCAGUGGUUGACCCUUAUACCUCCUGGGGCUAGUCGUGUAACGGCUUAGGGGUUGCGUAGACCAUACCCGUUGGUUAAAAAAUUUCUUUUUCUUCAAGAUCAAGAUGAAGACAAUACAAAUGCAGAUUGAUCCUCAGCCUGAUUC